CCUACGGGCGGCAGCAGUGGGGAAUAUUGCACAAUGGGGGAAACCCUGAUGCAGCGACGCCGCGUGAGUGAAGAAGUAUUUCGGUAUGUAAAGCUCUAUCAGCAGGGAAGAAAAUGACGGUACCUGAUUAAGAAGCCCCGGCUAAAUACGUGCCAGCAGCCGCGGUAAUACGUAGGGGGCACGUGGUAUCCGGAUUUACUGGGUGGAAAGGGAGCGUAGACGGCAGCACAAGUCUGGAGUGAAAUGCCGGGGCUUAACCCCGGAACUGCUUUGGAAACUGUGCAGCUAGAGUGCAGGAGAGGUAAGUGGAAUUCCUAGUGUAGCGGUGAAAUGCGUAGAUAUUAGGAGGAACACCAGUGGCGAAGGCGACUUACUGGACUGUAACUGACGUUGAGGCUCGAAAGCGUGGGGAGCAAACAGGAUUAGAUACCCGAGUAGUC
rnacentral:rRNA from 1 species